CAGCAGCCGCGGGAAUACGAGGGGGGCAAGCGUUGUUCGGAAUUAUUGGGCGUAAAGGGUGCGUAGGCGGCUUGACAAGUCUUAUGUGAAAUCUAUGGGCUCAACCCAUAGUCUGCACGGGAAACUGUCGGGCUUGAGAAUGGGAGAGGUGAGUGGAAUUUCCGGUGUAGCGGUGAAAUGCGUAGAUAUCGGAAGGAACACCUGUGGCGAAAGCGGCUCACUGGACCAUUUCUGACGCUGAUACACGAAAGCUAGGGGAGCAAACAGGAUUAGAUACCCCAGUAGUCCCUGUCUCUUAUAC
rnacentral:rRNA from 1 species